AGCUAUCUUUUGACAUAUGUUGCAUCUGGAAGCUGGGAACUGAAAUCUCCUGUUUCUGUCAUUAGCAAUUCUGGAUUUGCAUUGGCUGAUUUACCAUUCCCUAAGGGAGAUAGAGCCAGAAUCUGGGACUGACACCCAAUAUAGAGCAGGAGAUACUUCGAGCAGCCAGCAUGGGCUCAUUUGC
rnacentral:lncRNA from 1 species